CCUGAAUUUAGAUAACGAAAACGAAAAUAAGCUUUCACGAGUGAAUUUAAUAGUAUUGCAUGCAAAUAGUCUUUUAGCGCACGAAAUAGUAAAUAAAAAGCAUCUCACUGUCUGAUACUCGGGAAAAGAAUACGCAUUUGCGUCAUCACAUAUCUUAAUCUAAUAGUUGAAUUCGAAUGUCAAACGGCCUACAUUAAAUGUUUUGACUUCGGAAUCAUUGACAUUUCAUCCAGAUUUUUUGAGAACGCAAACCGAUAGUGUGCUUUUGAAAUGUGAUCUAUAAUGUGAAUGAAUCUAGACGUGUAGGAUAGUUGGUCAACACAAUGAAUACAAUUUUCAGAACCGUACCAUAGUACAAAUAUGUAGAUGCUAUAAGGUUAAAAUAUUAAAACAUACAAACAAAAA
rnacentral:lncRNA from 1 species